CAUUUUAUUUUGUAAUGGCAUAAAAACUUAAAAAAAAUUGAAUCAACUGUUUGGCAGAAUGUAGAAAAAAUUCUGUGUCCUUGGUGUAAAAGAAUCCAUGGGUAAAAAUGUGCCUGGGAACCAAAAGCUUGUGUUUGUUUUUUUGGUUUUUCUUUUUUAAAGAAAACUGUUUGAAAAUGCUUUUCAUUGCAUGCUUAGCUGGAGAAAAGUACAGGCAGAUGUCCCAUCUCCAAGCCACUUUUCAAAGGUGCUGCUGUGUUUAUAAAACCAGGUACAUUUAGGGUAGUAUUUACAAGGACAUCCCUGCUUAGCCUAUCCCUUUGGCUAGAAAACUCUAGAAUAUUAGCCACAGGGUCUGAAUUCCUGCAGCUUCUCUGGACCACCCUCCUGCCCCGCCUCCCCAGCCGGUCUGGGAAGAUGGCAGUCUAUUGACCUGUGGCGUCUCCGUGGGGACCUUCCUCCCUGGCCACCCGGUGAGCUUCACCCCCCUGGUAGCAAAGGUGUGGCAGCACUAGAGCUACUUCCUGCCGGACAAAGCUCCCGGAGAAAAGCCACUGGCGCAGUUAGCUGGUGGGGUUGGGACCCCACAGGAGAACAGGUGCAAGGCCCUGCGCUCACCUAGCAAGAGGCCAAGGGUCAGGGUCCUCCUGGCUGGUGUCAGGCGCCUCUCGAAGACACCCCCCUCCCCCGCCCCAACGAUCCAGGCUGCACUGGCCUAUGCCAUCCUGGGGACCAGACCUUCCCUGGCCCCCUCCUGGGUCAGCGGGACUGACCUCAUGGCACCCCCACCCCCAUUUCUAACACCAGCGCUCCUUCCAGCCUUUUUUCAUCGACUGACUGGGCCCCACGAAUAGGCUGCAGGCCCACAAGCACCAACUUGCCCCUCGGUGGUUGACAGGCCAAUUUUGGUUUGCUGCUCUUGGUCAGUACAGAAGGGGCUGCCCGUGCUACUUUCCAGUGAGCAUGCUCAUUGUGGUGUUUGCACAUACAACUUAACAUCUUCGUGGAGUGUGAGUUUUAUUUUUUACAUAUUUGUAUGCAGUAGAGGGCUUGUUUUAGAAAACUCUCCCUGUAUCUUACUGUACUGUUCAAGAAAGCUGAAUUCCACAUUGCCAACAGAAGCGUGAAAUGUUCAUGAACCUUCCUCCAG
rnacentral:lncRNA from 1 species